GUCACUGACUCGUGCAAGCAGCGCCCUGACAGCCAUGCUGCCUUCCUCCAGCAGCUGCGAGCAAGGAUUGCUUCUGUGCGCCCAGUUUUCUCGCAACGUAACUGCAGCGGCGUUCCACCUAUCUCCCAGUUCAGGCAAAUAAGAAUCCUCAGCGUUUUCAGGUGAAAGAAGUCCCUUCUCCUGUAAAGAGCCAGCGCCCUUGGGGUAAGGACAGACGGACCAAGCCAGCAAGGAAGUGAUGCCCGUUGGCUCCGCUUGACCUUGAGCAGCCAUCCACUGGAAAACAGCAUUUCUGCUGCCCCCUGCUGCAGGGGUCCUGUGUCCAGGGGAAGGGUUACCCUUCAGACACUGCAGGUCAGCCGGAGCAAGCCGUUCGAAGGAAUACGAUGGGGUGAAGAGGGUGCACGUCUGCAGUGUAAAACCGUCUUGAGUCCACCUGCAGCUUCUGAAACGGGUAGAUGUGAAUUCCCUCUUCUCACAGAAGGGAAGGGGCAGCUCGGAGCAGGAACCACCGGUGAUGACCCAUGAGACAGUGUGUGAAUGCUUUGCAUUGUGCAGUGCUUUGACAUUUGGCAUUCCUAUGGCGUUAUCCCCCAUCAACGCAGAAUAAGUUGUCAGAGCAUGAAAUUGGUAUUUUUACAUAUUCUUAACGUACAGAUGUCAUCUGAAAGCCUCGCACAGGCAUUAUGAUUAAACUCUCUGUUUCAUU
rnacentral:lncRNA from 7 species